rnacentral:lncRNA from 1 species
AGCACAGUUUAGGAAUAGAAAGAGAAACAAGAACGUCUUCAUUUUCUUCAGAGCAUCCUGAAGCAGACACUCAGGAGAUGGGAGAGUGAGAGCUUUGGACAAGUGUCUACUUAUUAUUCUGAAGCUUCCAUUUUAUUGCAAGUAAAGGACUCCAAUGUGGUCUUGUCCAGAACGAGGAGGUCUUGGCUAGUCAUCAGACCAAUGUUUCCACAGUUCCUUCUGACGUUACAAAGUUCCAGAAGCAAGGCAGAGAGUGCACUGGCUUCCUUCAAAGUGGAGCAUUGAAAUAAGGCUCUCCGGAUGUGUAAUAAGAGGAUCCAAUUUACCUAAGCAGCUGGCUAGGAUCCGAAGGCUUCACAGGAACCUAACAAAGAGGUGUGAUUGAACAGGGGCUGAGGGGUCCCUGGGGGUUGCUAGCGGGUUACAGAGCUGAUAUUGAAGAGCCUGAGACAGAAAGGACAGUUUGUAUAAAGACACUGAGGCAGAGAACAAGUAGGAGAUUGCCUAGAGAUGCUAUUUCAAGCAUUCUAACCAGGAAACAUACUCUGACCCUAACAUAAAGGAAAACCAACUCAGUUCAGCUAUUGAAUAUCCACAGGGAUGAGGGAAUGCUGUGGGCUGAUGAGCAGAUGAGGUUGCAGGAGAAAAAGAGAAAAAGAAUGGGUUUUAAGAGAAUAGUACACAUUCAAGGGAAUGCUUUUCUCUUAUCUUUUUUUUUGCCUUUUGUGUCUGUGACUCAAAAGGCAAGAUAACUAACCUCUGAAACCCUCCAAUUUCAGUUGUUUACUCUCUUGAGGAGAAGCCAGUAGCUUAGAGCCGACAGAAACGUCUAAGUCAUAAUUCUUAUAGUAGAGGACAGGAGAUGAUGUUUUCUUUAAACCACCAAAAUGAAUUUUAAAUUCAAAUCAAAACAGAAAAGGGGAUUUCAGAGCCAUCCCAAGCAUUUGGACAAAAAUCAGGUUGAGGUAGGGAAAGAGGACGGAACCAAAAGAACCUAGGAAGCCAGCGUUUACUGUGCGUUUGAAACCCCAGUUUCUUUUCUUUCUUUUUUUUUUUUUAAGAUUUUAUUUAUUUAUUCAUGAGAGACACAGAAAGAGAGGCAGAGACACAGGCAGAAGGAGAGGGAGAAGCAGGUUCCAUGCAGGGAGCCCGAUGUGGGACUAGAUCCCUGGUCUCCAGGGUCACGCCCUGGGCUGAAGGCAGUGCUAAACCGCUGAGCCACCCGGGCUGCCCACAACCCUAGUUUCUUUAAAAUUUCCCUACAACCUUCCCUGAAAGGUCAUCACUGUAGUUGUUGUUACUUUUAUCAUCAUUUUACUGACCAGGAAUGGUAACUAGUUCAAAUUACCUGAUUAAGUGUGUGUUAUUUUCACUAAGCCUCAUAGGAACAAGGGUGGUGUGAGCUUCCUCAGCUGUUUUGUCCUUCUUGCCAAUACUGGCCAUUUGGCUCAGUAAAAGGGGCUGGCCCCUCUUUGCCCCUGUCACAGCCAACAGUCUAUGUUACCCAGUGUCAUGGUAAUAAGAAGGAGUGUUCUCCUCUGCCAAGGCCACUGGGGAAGCAGGUCUUUGCAUUCUCACAGUAUACACACUUCUCCUGUGUGUGGAAGAGACUGCAUUCUCUGUAGAUCCUGCUUUGCAAAGCAUUUUGGUUCUACCCUUGGGAAAUGUAUGUGCAGGAAAGGCUCUGCUUAUGAGUCCUUUAUUGUGGAUUGUUAUCAGGUUUCCACAUCUUUGGAGAGUGUUUAGAUUAUAGGCGGAAAAACUGAUUUUUUAAAGCUGAAGUUAAGCCAGUACAUCAUCCCCUCAAAAGUGUCUUCUAUUAAAAACAACAGACACCAAAAAAAAGGAAAAAAAAAAAAAAAAGAAAAAA